CCUGGCUAUGCUAAAGGUCAGUCCCCAACCUGAACACAGCAGCUAGCUUAAAAGGGGUUUCUGAUUGGGUGCUUGUGGGUGAGCCCUUGCCAGCCUGGGUGUGUGAUCUCUGACAAGCCACCAAACUUCCCUGGACCCCAGUCUUCUCAUCCACGAAAUGCUGCAGCCCGCCUGUUGUAAGGAUUAAAUAGGCCGAUUAUGGCCCCCAUCCUUCUCUCCCUCCUUCUGCAAGUAUUGCUGAGCCCCGGUUCUGGCUGGGUAAUCAAGAUGCAUUCCAAUCACUGUGAGAGGCCGGAAGGUGCACACAGGCAGUGCGGUGUAGUCAGCAGCGACCGGCCAAGGAAACGCCGUUCUGUUCACAUAGAGACGCUCCCGAGAGGAGGCCACGGGGACCUCGCUGCUGCCCCUCGCCCUGCACCGCGAGCUCCAUUUCCAAGUGCUCCAACCCGUUUUGAAUGUCUGACGAUCCAUCCAAUGAGAGUGAGGCCCGGGACAGGCCUCUCCCGGGGUCUGGGGCGGCAGGGCCACCUCCCACCUCCCAUCUCCCGGGGUCUCUGGCACGGCCACGUGGCGUGUGGGCGGGGCCCGCCCCUGCAGUCCCGGUGGCCCGCGGCAGCCUCUCUCCUUCAGCCAGUGAAACAGCCCGGGGCUCCUGCCCUCCACUCUCCUCCUUCCUUUAACUUUAGCUGCCCUUGGGCAGAUCAGUGAGAAUAAAUUAACAGCAGAACGGACAAGGAUCUGUAUCCAGGGCAAAGACUGCUAGUCGUUCUGGGGCCAAGUCCAAAAGGAAAAUUGCUUCUGUUCCUCAUUUUUCAUUAUCUAAUGCCGGUCUUAGCGAGUUUCCAGACCCUAAAAGGAGCCGGUAGCGAGCGUGUUCCGAUGUACAAGUGUCAAUGCUGGAGGAAAGUAGGACCUGGGAGGGCCCAUUCCCUGCUUCCGACUUCCAUCGCCCCCC
rnacentral:lncRNA from 1 species